rnacentral:rRNA from 1 species
CAAGUCGAGCGGACAGAAGGGAGCUUGCUCCCGGAUGUUAGCGGCGGACGGGUGAGUAACACGUGGGUAACCUGCCUGUAAGACUGGGAUAACUCCGGGAAACCGGAGCUAAUACCGGAUAGUUCCUUGAACCGCAUGGUUCAAGGAUGAAAGACGGUUUCGGCUGUCACUUACAGAUGGACCCGCGGCGCAUUAGCUAGUUGGUGAGGUAACGGCUCACCAAGGCGACGAUGCGUAGCCGACCUGAGAGGGUGAUCGGCCACACUGGGACUGAGACACGGCCCAGACUCCUACGGGAGGCAGCAGUAGGGAAUCUUCCGCAAUGGACGAAAGUCUGACGGAGCAACGCCGCGUGAGUGAUGAAGGUUUUCGGAUCGUAAAGCUCUGUUGUUAGGGAAGAACAAGUGCAAGAGUAACUGCUUGCACCUUGACGGUACCUAACCAGAAAGCCACGGCUAACUACGUGCCAGCAGCCGCGGUAAUACGUAGGUGGCAAGCGUUGUCCGGAAUUAUUGGGCGUAAAGGGCUCGCAGGCGGUUUCUUAAGUCUGAUGUGAAAGCCCCCGGCUCAACCGGGGAGGGUCAUUGGAAACUGGGAAACUUGAGUGCAGAAGAGGAGAGUGGAAUUCCACGUGUAGCGGUGAAAUGCGUAGAGAUGUGGAGGAACACCAGUGGCGAAGGCGACUCUCUGGUCUGU